rnacentral:lncRNA from 1 species
CGGCCCUGGAAACCCAUGUGGGAAAAUAUUAGUCAUGUUGACAGGAGAGAUAGGAGGUUCUCGUGGUGAAACAAGUCCCUCUGCUCAGGAGGCUGCAGUUUAAAGGAUUUCAAGGUGACCUUGGAAGUGGUCACUGACCUUGGAUAAGACCCUUAUAUGCCAGGCUGGUGGAGAACAGGUGGAGGGAGGCCUGAAGACAGCCCUAAACUGAGGGGUCUGGAAACCUGAUCACCGGCCCUGCCCUUGGCUUCAACUAAGUCCGGGUCACAUACCCAUGCAGGAGACCUCUCCAGGUACACAUAUUUCCUGCUACUGAAUGGCUUAGACUGGGAUUUGCAAGGAACUACGAAGUCCAAGACCUUUGCCUUUCUUUUAGAAGAAGGCACCAGCUGGUUCUCCAAUGUUGAAGGUCUUCUCCAGAGAUGAACUCUGAAAGCCACAUGUUGAGAUGGCCCCAUUACAGGAUGGAGAGCACCUGAACCCCCAAGUUAUGGACUAGAAGAAGACAGUUGCCCUGGAAAAUCAUCUGACCCACAUUGGACUUUAUGUGAGGGGGAAAUAAACCUUUAUUAUGUUAAGCUACACAAUAAUAAAUAACAACAAUAAUUGUGUUUAUUUGUUA